rnacentral:misc_RNA from 1 species
CCAAUAGCGUAUAUUAAAGUUGUUGCAGUUAAAAAGCUCGUAGUUGAAUUUCGGGACUAAUAUGUCGGUCGUGCCUCGGUACGUACUGGUAUUUUUGGUUUCUCCCUUCUGACGAAUCUUGAUGUCAUUAAUUUGGUGUCUUGGGAAAUCAGGACUGUUACUUUGAAAAAAUUAGAGUGUUUAAAGCAGGCUCACGCUUGAAUACAUUAGCAUGGAAUAAUGAAAUAGGACGUUUGAUUCUAUUUUGUUGGUUUCUAGGAUCGACGUAAUGAUUAAUAGGGAUAGUUGGGGGCAUUAGUAUUCAAUUGUCAGAGGUGAAAUUCUUGGAUUUAUUGAAGACUAACUACUGCGAAAGCAUUUGCCAAGGAUGUUUUCAUUAAUCAAGAACGAAAGUUAGGGGAUCGAAGACGAUCAGAUACCGUCGUAGUCUUAACCAUAAACUAUGCCGACUAGGGAUCGGAUGAUGUUAAUUUUUUAAUGACUCAUUCGGCGCCUUACG